AAGUUGAGCACCGAGCGCUCACGGCGUUAUCAACAGAAUGCGUUCGGUAUCGGGGCGUUCUUGAUGAACGAGCAAACGCCACGUGGCUGAGUAAUCUUGAGCAAGAGUGACGCGUUCUUCAAGUAGAUCAGCACGGCAUUUUCCGUGUGUUCAUACGAGCGACAUUCCCCGGAAUACUACAGCGUAAAAUGCGAGAAACGUUAUAGCUUUCUGCUGUGGCGUGUGCGCUCAACGUUGUGUCUUCAAGCACACUGCUACACAGCUACACGUUUUUCCGUAGCAGACGACAGGAAAGGACGCUGACGGUGUCGUCUGCUUAGUAACUUCGGCUGUGUGAGCAGUGUUUUAGCUUUUUCUUCCACUAGGAUCUUCUGCGAGGAUGUCGCUCGUGUGAAUGGUUUAUGCCAGUUUUCGCUAUUAUUCGCGUUGACAUUUAUAAACCGUGUGCAAGCCACUCUAAGAAGCGGACCACCAAAGCAGCGUCAUAAGGAAUGCCAGGUACCCGAACAAAUGUGUUACAUACAGCCGUGCAUACAGCGUACCAGCUGGAUGAGAGUGCUGCAAAUCAAGUUGCAUCGGGUUUUAUUGCGAGAGAUUACCAUUUACUGCGUGGAAGGAGACGACGAAGCAGCUCUUAUUGAGUUCCAAGAAAUCACCGUUGCCGUACAUCACGAUAGCAUAGGAAGAACAGAAGAAAGAAAAAAAAAGUGUCUGCUAAUUAACGCAGAAAGAGCUCGGGAGAACCAUUAAAAAUUGGAUCGAACAGAGAGAAAUUUAGGCGUUU